GCAGCUUUAGCUCAUCUGGGAGAGCGUCAGACUGAAGAUUCUUUAGUAAUCUGGAGGUACUGUGUUCGAGCCACAGAAGCUGCA
rfam:Candida tropicalis MYA-3404 genomic scaffold supercont3.2, whole genome shotgun sequence.